rnacentral:rRNA from 1 species
CAGUCGUACUGACGGAAAAUCAACUUUUCGGGUGCCUAUCGUGGGUGACGUUGAGCCUCACGGUCUUCGUUGCUUAUGUGUUGGUAUCUUUGGAGUGCACUUUUUCGUAUGGUAGGUCAACAUCGAUUUUAAUCGUCAUAAAAUGAUCGGAGGAAUGUGGCUUCGAUUUCGAUCGGAGUGUUAUAGCCUUUGGUAGAUGUGACGAUUGGGAUCGAGGAUUGCAACGAAUACCUUUGGGCUAUCCGUCUGGCCUCUGAAAGUCGCUUGGGUGCUGAAAGCUUGCUUAUGGUAUUCAAGUUGGCGGUCAAUAGGUUAGAACGAGAUUACAUUCGUUAAGGAUGUUGACGUA